rnacentral:lncRNA from 1 species
AUGGGAAUUACGGGAGUACAAUUCAAGAAGAUUUAGGUGGGGACACAAAGCCAAACCAUAUUACAAGGUUUAUAGGCUUGCAGUAAGUAAAGAAUACCAUUUUCUGACAAGCCCAGGAACUUCAGGAUAUUUGGGGGACCUCAAAAAAGAGGGAUUUACCCAAUUCAUACAAGUAUUACAGGCAAAAUCUGAGGGUGAAUUGUUGGCCCGGCUUCCAAUCUUAAGAGGCUUUUAAAGAUUGAACCUGAAAUUCCUUAUAAAAAAAAGUUUCAGUCAAGUCAAUUUAAAAAGUGCUUACAUGGCCAAGUACUAUUCUGGCUGUACUUUAGUCAAAUAAUCAGGCCAAGUAUAACAAGUCUAAAACUUUAUUUUGCAAAUAAAUUGGUCCUACUCUCCUGCAGGGAGCUGUCCUCCUCCUUUCACCUGUUAAACGUCCACUCUCAACCUCACUCUCCAUGUGUCUGUAUCCUUUAGUUCCUCAGCCGUGAGACAAUGAUCCCAGGGUACCGCCCCAGACAAUGAGGCCAUUUCACUUGCACACUCACUUGUACACUCGAUUUGUCCCACUCUAGGCCCCCUACUAGGUACCUUGGGUAAGUAAUACAGCAUAUUUUUCUCCUAUGUUUUCUUAAAAUAAGUAAUGGGGAUACUAGAAGCUGCAAUCUCAGUUAUGCCAACAAUUAUGGAAUCCAUGGGAAGCACUUGUUACAGGACUUGGACCUGGUGAGCAUCUGUAUUUUUUCUGUGGCUGCUGUAACAAAUUACUACCAACUUGGUGAUUUAAAACAAUUCACACAGUAGAGAUGGCCUGAGUUCAAAGCACUUUCACGGGGCUAAAAUCGAGGUAUUUUGGGAGAGCUGCACUCCUUCUGGAGGCUCUUGGGGAGCACCAGCCCUUGGCUCUCCUGACUUCAGGUGGCUGCCAGCACUCCUUGGCUGCAGUGGCCUCACUGCAAUCUCUGUCUCUGUAGUCAUGCAGGGGCCAAGGCAACACUUCCCCUUCACCCUCUGAAGGCUUGCUAGUAAAUAAACUGACAAAAGGCAGAUUAAUUGGAGGAAAGGCGUGAACAUUUAUUAAUAGGUGCCUGGGGGAGAGCCACAGAGUGAUUGUCCCAUAUUCCAAUGGGGCCCAGAUACUUGUAUAGCCCUAUUUCAGAGGGGAAGAGGAGAUGGGAAUGUAGGUAAUUACAGGAUGAUAAAUGAUUACUGAAGAGAAUAAAUAGAUCAGGGAACAGGAAUUCACUUGUAAAUCAUGCUCUUUGAAAAUUGACUGAGACUGAGAGAUAGAUAUUGUCUUGUGAAAGUCUGUGCUGGCAUGGUUACACUCUUGUUCCUGUUUUCUGUAAUAGAUAAUGAGCUAACAGGGAGAGGAAGGAAAGACAAUUGUUCUCCUUGGAUACUCCCUCUGGUCUCUAUGUAGACAGAGAACGUUCUCCUCCAGCCUCUGUUGAUCUCUGAAGGUCUUUAAUUCAAAAUGCACGUUACAUCAGGGACCACUAUUUUGGGGGUCUGCUGUCAUGUGAUGCUAUACCAGAGUCAAGCUGGAAUUUGGCAUCUUAGUGCCAAAGGGUCUGUUUCAUCCAUGAAGGGAUGUCUAUUUUAAUGUUAAUGCUGGGUAAUGAGGAAAAUGAGGCAGCCAGAUGGAGUCCCAGCAAAAGCAGACUUCAGGCAGAAGGAACGGCAAGUCCAGGGCUCUGGAUGAGAGAAGAUCAACAACAGGAGACAGAGGGACCCCUCUAGAGGCAGGAGGAAAGAUAAAUGGCCACAGGCUGCUGUCAUCUAGGCCAGGGUUCUGGCAGCAAUGAAAACACGUCUGCAGGAGGAGAAAGAAGUGCUUUUGAAUCCAUCUUACUCAUCGUCUGUCUCUUGUCUCUUCAAAGUGAAUGCAGUUGGAAGGAAAGGGACAGGUUGGUUCUGUGCUUUGCCCAAGUAGGUCCAAAUUCUGUUUUUUUUCAGGAUGUAGCAGGGUGAGCUGUUCUGACAAACUUGAUCUUAGCACAACAGGGGCAGUAAGGUCAUCAUCCCCACCAGUCCUUUGCCCUAGGAUUACAGGACCUGCCCCCAGAGGGACAGGAGCUCAUCCUACACUGUCCCAGUGUUUCUGUGAAACACCUUAGCUCCCUGGCUGAUUCCCCAGUGGCUCAGGGGCCCAGGGAGCCUCCUCACACCCAAGGUCCCUGUCCCCAGGUGUGGGGGAUCCCUAUGUAUGACAUUGUGGGUGACUGGGACUCCUCACUGAACAGGAUCAGUAAAGGGCCUGCCUGGCUCUAGGCACUCAUUCAGCUGCACUGGAAUUUGGAGAAAGAGGCUGCAGAAUACACCCCUAGCCCUAAUUAGGAAAGAAACAGAGUGGUCUUGAGUCAACUCCUGAAAGCUGUGUGUGCCCUGGAUCAAUGGCCCACGGGACAUGUAGAACAGAGGCAGGAAGUCCCACUGUAAAUGGCAGACUUCAGUUUCCAGGACUUAGAUUCCACUGGGAAGCAGCUGUCCAAUUCACAAAAUUGUCAGUGAUCAAAAUAAAUAUAAUAAAGUAGUUCAUUUUAAGCAAUGCAAAGAAAGCUGAGUGGCAGAUAAAGCUAAAGAUGAGCUCCAGAUGCCACCAGGCAUAGCACGUGGAGGGACUGCAUACCCGCGUCCAGCGUAACUUACAACUCCUGGAAUGCUGGGACUGUGCAGUGUUAAUUCUAAUGGCCCAUGGAGGCAUAAUUAAUUAACCUUUCAGUUACUCUGGGCACUGCCCUUAUCCAAACAUAAAUAUGUGUAUGCCGGGAAAAUUUUGCAAUAUAGAAAGCCGACAUCGUUGACUCCUUAUUCAUAGGCAAAUCCAGUGCUUUUCAAUUUUGACUGUGCAGCAGAAUCACCGAUGGAUUUUAUUUUUAAAAUAGGGGUACGUAUGUCUCAUCUCACCCAGGGUGAGGUCCAUGGAUCUAAUGUUAUGAAGCCCACAGUGGGUCCCAAAUCCCAGCUGAGCUCCAGGACUAGGAAUGUCACCCAGCCUCCCUGCUGUAGAGCUGCACCAUGGCUUUCGUUCUUCCCGUGGUGGAAACAAAGCUUGCCUAGAGUUUCUGGAUGCAGCAUCUCUCCGAAAACAAGCUGGGGCUCUGCCGCCCUCACUGGAGCACAGCCAGUGCUGUGGAGCCCCCAGAGUGGCCACAGGGAUAGAGGGGACUUAAAACUGAGUAGGGGGCAACAGAGUUGGGGGUCUAUCCACCACAUGUGGACACACAGCAAGUCAGGCAUGUGGGAAGGAGGGAACAGCAGCGUGGAAUGGAAAUGGCAAAUGUUCAUCCAGCCAGGUGUUAUUUUAUUUAUGGCUUCUGGGGAAAUGGGAUGAACAAUUUCAGAACAGCCUUGGGUUGAACUUGAUGCUGCAAAUGGAACUUAAUUGCUCAAAUAAUGUCAUAUCAAUUUCAUAUAAAUGAUAAAGAAGGAAAGUCCCUCUUUCUAGAGAGAAAACUCUCCUGACGGCAUCAGGCUGUCCUGGGAAGUCACUGCUUCCCUUUUCUGUUGUGGGGCAUAACGGGAGAUGAAGCUGGGAAUUGACAAUCUCUUUUUUCUGCUGGACUGAAACCUCCUGGAGCAGAAAAAUAGUUUUUUAUUUUGCAAAUGAAAGUCAAAGAUGUGGCAGGAGUUGAGGGUGGGCAUUGCAAGAGCUAAAUCCGGUGCUUCUGACAGCCCAGCCCUAGUGAGAGGCCCCUUCUGAGAGUCCCAGGGACUCUUAUGUAAAUGAAACUCAAAUAGAGCUCCCCACAGCACCUGAGCUUAGGGUCACCAGGCUCUGGGACUCUGUAUGUGCUCCCAGGAGAUUCCAUCCCCAGGAUAACACUGCAGGUCAAUUUGUGCUUUUCCUACCAUGCAAACCAUACUCUGGUAACUGUGCAGGAUUCUAAGAAAUAAACUUAUUGA